rnacentral:rRNA from 1 species
AAACUGAAGAGUUUGAUCCUGGCUCAGAUUGAACGCUGGCGGCAUGCCUUACACAUGCAAGUCGAACGGCAGCACGGGUGCUUGCACCUGGUGGCGAGUGGCGAACGGGUGAGUAAUACAUCGGAACAUGUCCUGUAGUGGGGGAUAGCCCGGCGAAAGCCGGAUUAAUACCGCAUACGAUCUACGGAUGAAAGCGGGGGACCUUCGGGCCUCGCGCUAUAGGGUUGGCCGAUGGCUGAUUAGCUAGUUGGUGGGGUAAA